GACGGGGGCCCGCACAAGCGGUGGAGCAUGUGGUUUAAUUCGAUGAUACGCGAGGAACCUUACCUGGGCUCAAAUGUAUGUUGACGUAUUCUGAAAGGGAUACUUCUUCGGACAAUAUACAAGGUGCUGCAUGGUUGUCGUCAGCUCGUGCCGUGAGGUGUCGGGUUAAGUCCCAUAACGAGCGCAACCCUUGCCUUUAGUUGCCAGCAGUUCGGCUGGGCACUCUAAAGGGACUGCCGGUGUUAAACCGGAGGAAGGUGGGGAUGACGUCAAGUCCUCAUGGCCUUUAUGACCAGGGCUACACACGUACUACAAUGGCCGAUACAAAGGGCAGCGACACUGCGAGGUGAAGCCAAUCCCGUAAAAUCGGUCUCAGUCCGGAUUGGAGUCUGCAACUCGACUCCAUGAAGUUGGAAUCGCUAGUAAUCGUGGAUCAGCAUGCCACGGUGAAUACGUUCCCGGGCCUU
rnacentral:rRNA from 1 species